UUGGAGGGCAAGUCUGGUGCCAGCAGCCGCGGUAAUUCCAGCUCCAAUAGCGUAUAUUAAAGUUGUUGCAGUUAAAAAGCUCGUAGUUGAAUUUCGAGAUCAGUACGCUGGUCGUGCCUUCGGAAUGCACUGGUGUCACUGGUUUCUCCCUUCUGAAGAACUGUCAUGCCAUUCAGUUGGUGUGGCGGGGAAUCAGGACUGUUACUUUGAAAAAAUUAGAGUGUUUAAAGCAGGCUCGCGCUUGAAUACAUUAGCAUGGAAUAAUGAAAUAGGACGUUUGACCCUAUUUUGUUGGUUUCUAGGAUUGACGUAAUGAUUAAUAGGGAUAGUUGGGGGCAUUAGUAUUCAAUUGUCAGAGGUGAAAUUCUUGGAUUUAUUGAAGACCAACUACUGCGAAAGCAUUUGCCAAGGAUGUUUUCAUUAAUCAAGAACGAAAGUUAGGGGAUCGAAGACGAUCAGAUACCGUCGUAGUCUUAACCAUAAACUAUGCCGACUAGGGAUCGGAUGAUGUUAAUUUUUUAAUGACUCAUUCGGCGCCUUACGGGAAAC
rnacentral:rRNA from 1 species